GGGGGACUACACAUGCAGUCGAGCGAGAACUUCGGUUCUAGCGGCGGACGGGUUAGUAACGCGUGGGAACGUGCCCUUCACUACGGAAUAGUCCCGGGAAACUGGGUUUAAUACCGUAUACGCCCUUCGGGGGAAAGAAUUUCGGUGAAGGAUCGGCCCGCGUUAGAUUAGAUAGUUGGUGGGGUAACGGCCUACCAAGUCUACGAUCUAUAGCUGGUUUUAGAGGAUGAUCAGCAACACUGGGACUGAGACACGGCCCAGACUCCUACGGGAGGCAGCAGUGGGGAAUCUUAGACAAUGGGCGCAAGCCUGAUCUAGCCAUGCCGCGUGAGUGAUGAAGGCCUUAGGGUCGUAAAGCUCUUUCGCCAGGGAUGAUAAUGACAGUACCUGGUAAAGAAACCCCGGCUAACUCCGUGCCAGCAGCCGCGGUAAUACGGAGGGGGUUAGCGUUGUUCGGAAUUACUGGGCGUAAAGCGCGCGUAGGCGGAUUGGAAAGUUGGGGGUGAAAUCCCAGGGCUCAACCCUGGAACUGCCUCCAAAACUAUCAGUCUAGAGUUCGAGAGAGGUGAGUGGAACUCCGAGUGUAGAGGUGAAAUUCGUAGAUAUUCGGAAGAACACCAGUGGCGAAGGCGGCUCACUGGCUCGAUACUGACGCUGAGGUGCGAAAGUGUGGGGAGCAAACAGGAUUAGAUACCCUGGUAGUCCACACC
rnacentral:rRNA from 1 species